UACGUAGGGUGCGAGCGUUAAUCGGAAUUACUGGGCGUAAAGCGUGCGCAGGCGGUUCGUUAAGUCAGCUGUGAAAGCCCCGGGCUCAACCUGGGAAUUGCGAUGGAGACUGCAAGGCUAGAAUCUGGCAGAGGGGGGGUAGAAUUCCACGUGUAGCAGUGAAAUGCGUAGAGAUGUGGAGGAACACCGAUGGCGAAGGCAGCCCCCUGGGUCAAGAUUGACGCUCAUGCACGAAAGCGUGGGGAGCAAACAGG
rnacentral:rRNA from 1 species